AACGUAGGAGACAAACGUUAUCCGGAGUUACUGGGCGUAAAGGGCGUGUAGGUGGUUUCGUAAGUCUGGCGUGAAAUUUUUCGGCUUAACCGGGAAAGGUCGUCGGAUACUGCAGAACUAGAGGACGGUAGAGGCGUGUGGAAUUCCGGGUGUAGUGGUGAAAUGCGUAGAGAUCCGGAGGAACACCAGUGGCGAAGGCGACACGCUGGGCCGUACCUGACACUGAUGCGCGACAGCAUGGGGAGCAAACAGG
rnacentral:rRNA from 1 species